UACGUAGGCAGCGAGCGUUGUUCGGAGUUACUGGGCGUAAAGAGCGUGUAGGCGGUUCGGUAAGUCUGUCGUGAAAUCCUGAGGCUCAACCUCGGGCGUGCGAUGGAUACUGCCGGGCUAGAGGAUGGUAGAGGCGAGUGGAAUUCCCGGUGUAGCGGUGAAAAUGCGCAGAUAUCGGGAGGAACACCUAUGGCGAAGGCAGCUCGCUGGGACGUUACUGACGCUGAGACGCGAAAGCGUGGGGAGCAAACAGG
rnacentral:rRNA from 1 species